rnacentral:lncRNA from 1 species
CGUCAUCUGCUGCCUGGGAUCGAAGGCAGGGAGCCUCCUGGAGCGUCGCGGGCAGCUUCAGCCUCGCAGGGCGGCUGCGCUGAGCGGGGCAGCGGCUCCGGGUGCCGAGGGGGAGAUGCCGGGGGGCCGCGUCCUCUUCCUGGGGGCGAGGAGCAAAACCGGACUGAAGAGAGAGGGGCAGCUCGGAGCAACCGGGUGGAGAGCCCGGGAAGGCGGCAGGAGGGGGCUUUGGAGGCAGGGGCAGCUCCRGCCGCUCGGCCCAGGCCCUGCAUCACGGCCGCCGGCAUUUCCAGCUGCGUUCGUGCCCCCGCGGAGCUCACGCCGUUAAAUGCCUCGGCCUCUGGCCCGGACGCAGCUGCGGGUGCUUGUGCUCGCAAAUGUCUUCAGCUUGCUAAAACCCGGCCGGCUGGUGUAUUUAACGGGAAAAGCCGAGAGCUGCUCCAGGAGGGGAGCUCGCAGGAACUGCCAUCGCGGGGAAAUCCCGGUGCCGGGGGGGGGGGCCGGGAUCUCUCCGCUCGGCCACCGGCGCUUCGUGCUCCCGCAGAGCUCCGCAGUGGCAGCGUGGUCCCGGGGCCGUGCCGGCUGCRAGGGCAGCGCAGCGGCGGGGGCCUACGGGGAAACCGGCUCGUGCUCGAUUCCUGCCAAGCCCGGCCGCAGCGUGGCUCCCUCCCGGGAGGAGCCGGCAGAGGCGGGGGGACCCCGGGCCCCUCGCGGGGACACUGCACUUUCCGAAAUGCCGGAGUUGCAAACCUCGGCAUCCCAAUGGCCCUGGCAGUGCUGGGCUUCACUGAAGCAGGAAUUGCAGCUGGCUGCGGCGGGGAGCCGGGGUUGGGCGUGCGGGGGGCCGGGAGCAGGGCUGACUUCUCGCCCUCCUCCUCCUCCUCCUCCUCCUCCACAGGGGCCACGGGCGCUCUGGAGCCGCGCAGGCUGCUGCGUCGGCUCUUGGGGCCGUCAUCGGCUCCCUGCUGGGAUCCCCGUCCACGCUGGGACCACCUGGAUCCCCGCCGUGAUCCCCCUGGAUCUCUGCUGUGCCCCCCCCCCCACGCUGACCCCAUCCCCUCCAGGACCCCCCCGGAUCCUGCCGGGACCCCCCAGCUCAGCCCCUUCCCGCUGUGCCCAAACCCCAAAUAA